GGAGCUUCCUGCUAGAAAAGAGAAGCUAAGUCUGGAUGCCAGAGCAACGUUGGUCACCAUGCACGGAGCACCACAUGGGUCCGCACGUGCCUCUGCAGCUGAAGGCAGACUUUGAGCAUCAAAUGAAGACUGACAUCCAUCUAAUUCAUUUCAACACAAGGACCACGUCUACACAUGCAGGGAACAAAAUUCCAAAUAACUUCAAAGGAAACAAGAUCAGGCCCAAGAAAAGUAA